AGAGUUUGAUCCUGGCUCAGGAUGAACGCUAGCUACAGGAUUAACACAUGCAAGUCGAGGGGCAGCAUGGGCUUAGCUUGCUAAGCCCGAUGGCGACCGGCGCACGGGUGAGUAACACGUAUCCAACCUUCCGGUAACUCCGGUAUAGCCUUUCGAAAGAAAGAUUAAUCCCGGAUAGUAUGGUGAUUCCGCAUGGUUUCUCCAUUAAAGGAUUCCGGUUACCGAUGGGGAUGCGUUCCAUUAGGCAGUUGGCGGGGUAACGGCCCACCAAACCUACGAUGGAUAGGGGUUCUGAGAGGAAGGUCCCCCACAUUGGAACUGAGACACGGUCCAAACUCCUACGGGAGGCAGCAGUGAGGAAUAUUGGUCAAUGGGCGGAAGCCUGAACCAGCCAAGUAGCGUGAAGGAUGACUGCCCUAUGGGUUGUAAACUUCUUUUAUAAGGGAAUAAUUGUGGGUACGCGUACCCAUUUGCAUGUACCUUAUGAAUAAGGAUCGGCUAACUCCGUGCCAGCAGCCGCGGUAAUACGGAGGAUCCGAGCGUUAUCCGGAUUUAUUGGGUUUAAAGGGAGCGUAGGCGGGCGCUUAAGUCAGCUGUGAAAGUUUGGGGCUCAACCUUAAAAUUGCAGUUGAUACUGGGUGCCUUGAGUGCAGUAUAGGCAGGCGGAAUUCGUGGUGUAGCGGUGAAAUGCUUAGAUAUCACGAAGAACUCCUAUUGCGAAGGCAGCUUGCUGGAGUGUAACUGACGCUGAUGCUCGAAAGUGUGGGUAUCAAACAGGAUUAGAUACCCUGGUAGUCCACACAGUAAACGAUGAAUACUCGCUGUUUGCGAUAUACUGCAAGCGGCCAAGCGAAAGCGUUAAGUAUUCCACCUGGGGAGUACGCCGGCAACGGUGAAACUCAAAGGAAUUGACGGGGGCCCGCACAAGCGGAGGAACAUGUGGUUUAAUUCGAUGAUACGCGAGGAACCUUACCCGGGCUUGAAUUGCAACCGAAUUAUCCGGAAACGGGUAAGCCGCAAGGCGGUUGUGAAGGUGCUGCAUGGUUGUCGUCAGCUCGUGCCGUGAGGUGUCGGCUUAAGUGCCAUAACGAGCGCAACCCUUAUCCACAGUUACCAUCAGGUGAUGCUGGGGACUCUGUGGAGACUGCCGUCGUAAGAUGCGAGGAAGGGGGGGAUGACGUCAAAUCAGCACGGCCCUUACGUCCGGGGCUACACACGUGUUACAAUGGGGGGUACAGCAGGCAGCUCGGCGGCGACGCCCGGCCAAUCCCUAAAUCCCCUCUCAGUUCGGACUGGAGUCUGCAACCCGACUCCACGAAGCUGGAUUCGCUAGUAAUCGCGCAUCAGCCACGGCGCGGUGAAUACGUUCCCGGGCCUUGUACACACCGCCCGUC
rnacentral:rRNA from 1 species